GUACAAUGAAAAGCCACCAUCAUUUGCUAGAUCUUCCUUGUAACUGCUAAUUUCUUGUCAAAUGCCUCUCCUGCUUCACAGAAAGUUUCCCCCCUGAGGCUUUUAUUCCUUCCUCGUUGCUCAUCCAAUGAACACACUUCAAUUCUUGCCUUUCUUUAUUAAUUUUUUCCUUCUUUUUGAGAUGGAGUCUUGCUCUGUUGCCCAGGCUGGAGUGCAGUGGCACGAUCUCGGCUCUCUGCAACCUCCGCCUCCUGGGUUCAAGCAAUUCUCCUGCCUCAGCCUCCCAAGUAGCUGGGAUUAUAGGCACAAGCCACCAGGCCCGGAUAAUUUUUGUAUUUUUAGUAGAGAUGAGGUUU
rnacentral:lncRNA from 1 species